UGCGUAGGCGGAAUAUUAGGUCAGUGGUGAAAUCCUGCGGCUCAACCGUAGAACUGCCAUUGAUACUGAUAUUCUUGAAUGUAGUUGAGGUAGGCGGAAUGUGUAAUGUAGCGGUGAAAUGCUUAGAUAUUACACAGAACGCCGAUUGCGAAGGCAGCUUACUAAACUAUGAUUGACGCUGAGGCACGAAAGCGUGGGGAGCGAACAGGAUUAGAUACCCUGGUAGUCC
rnacentral:rRNA from 1 species